rnacentral:lncRNA from 1 species
GGGGUAUAAUUUGAUCCACUGUUCAGUGAAGGGUAACAAAUCGGUGAGUAACAUCUGUGUAUAUGUAGGUGAGCUGGAAAUCGCCAUGGUUUGGAUGCCGUCCAGGCCCCAAGACUCGUGCUGAAAUUUCGUCAGCAUUGUGAGGUAACAAGGGGGCAAAAACUUGACCUGACUGUGGUGUUAGGAGAUGGAGGCCUUGGGAGAUGACUGGGAAGAGAUCAGGCGGUGAUGGUGAAGUCCCCAGGACCGAGGCCUGGUGAUUCUAGGAGAGGGAGACCAGAAGACACACAGUCCCGUGUCUUGCCACACGAUGCCCUGCACCUCCCUGCGGCCCUGCCAGUGAACCUAGAUCACUGACAGAGGGACAGAAGCUAAGGAACCCCAUCAACGGUGUCCCCUGUGCUUCCAAGCCACCACCCUCCAAGAGAUAAGAGCCCUUGGUCUUGAAGAGAAGGAGAAGCACGUGCCCAUGGGCAUUUUCUAGCAGCGACCCAGCCCUGCGGUUGGAAGUUGCAGGAGCCUGUCCCAGGACCUGGCCCUUUCUUCACAGCGGG